rnacentral:rRNA from 1 species
UACGUAGGGUGCAAGCGUUGCUCGGAAUGACUGGGCGUAAAGGGCGCGUAGGCGGUUUGGACAGUCAGAUGUGAAAUUCCUGGGCUCAACCUGGGGGCUGCAUUUGAUACGUUCGGACUAGAGUGGGGAAGAGGGUCGUGGAAUUCCCAGUGUAGAGGUGAAAUUCGUAGAUAUUGGGAAGAACACCGGUGGCGAAGGCGGCGACCUGGUCCUUGACUGACGCUGAGGCGCGAAAGCGUGGGGAGCAAACCGG